UACUACUGCUAUGGUUUAUGUGCCUACUUUUAACUCUCUCGACUAAAAUUGGGCUGCUUUGUUUCAGCUGAUCUGAUAGUGUGGGUGGGAUCUACAGAACAACCUUGAGAUGUGUCUGCGACCAGUCCACAUUCUGCACAACUCCCACAACUUGAAGACCAAGAUCUUUGCCAUUUAAGGAACCAUGACCACUAGCAUGCAGCGCAGGCAAUGGGCGGAGAACAGAUGGCUACCUCUCUGGGAACCAUGGUCACCCACAUGCAGCGGAUAACGAAUGGUGGAUGGAAGGCUACCUCACCAGGAACCAGGUCCACGACUUAUUGUGGGCAAUCGGUGGCGAACGGAGGGCUACUUUGCCGGGUACCUCAACUACUAGGCACUUAGCCAACUGGUGCACAUGGACGUGAUGACUUUGCAGCGUUUAUGGACCAACCAACUUGUAAUCAUGGAUCUUAUUUGUCUUCUAGACCAUUUGGUGAUUUGGUUAUUUUGGAGCUUGCAUUUUGUGCAUCUGGAUACAGACUUGUGUGUUCUGGAUCAUCUAGUUGAAGUUUCUCAUACCAGCAAAUAGUGCUAUCUUUUUGUGACUUGUGUGUUCUGGGUGAUUGUUAAGAUGGUAAAAAACUAUGCUUUGUCAAG